GUUCCACUGGAUAUCAUAAGGUGAAUGCACCAAUUUGUAAGUCGCUCUGGAUAAGAGCGUCUGCUAAAUGACUUAAAUGUAAAUGUAAAUGUACUUGUCUCUCUUCUAUUGCAGUUCACCUUUCAACUCACAGAAAUACCCUUCUGGAACGUACAGAAUGACUUACAUCUUAUGCAGAAAGGGGUGGGGCAGGCCUCCAACUCCAAUCUGAUACACUGAUCUCUUCGUGACCGUGGACAACGAGUCAUUUGACAGCAGCCAGCAUGAGUACUUCCUCCUGGCCAGUCGACAGGCAUGCAUCAACGCCCACCAGGCCUGCCAACGCAUCUACCCUCGCCACCUCCUGAGCCCCCAAGGCACCACAGGGUGCCCACCGAAGCGGGUAAAGGUGAAGGGCAUCGCUGGCAUUGGCAAGAGCAUGGCAGUGCAGAGGCUGGUCUAUGGGUGGGCGUUGGGGAAGCACAUGUGUGAGUUCACCUGUGUUUGACCUCCACUUCCGCGAGCUGAACCUGAUCAAAGCCCCGCUGAGCUUACUGGACCGUCUCGAAGACCGAUUCCACUACUUCAAGACUGUCGUGCCAGACCUUCUGGCCUCGCCAGGUUCCUUGCUCUUCAUUCUGGAUGGGCUGGACGAGUUUAAAUACCAACUGGACUGGAACGCUCCUGACAGGGACAUCGGCGUGGACUCCAAGGUUCCGUAUCAGAGCUGAUAAUGGCGUUGAUCAAGGGGAGUCUACUCCCAGAGUCCUCGGUCAUCCUGACAUCCAGGUAUUCCACUGACGGCCCUAAGCGGUUCUUCCAGCGUUGCUGUGUGGUCCUGGGCUUCGAGGAGGACCAGGUGAAGGAGUACACCUCCAAGUUCUGCAAGGACCUCAAGGUGUCUGAGAAGGUGUACAAAGGUGUACAACAACGACAAGUUCUUUGUGCUCUCCUUCAUCCCUCUCUAUUGCUAUAUCAUCUGCACUGCCUUGGCUGAGUUCUUCUCCAGUCAGGAAGAUAGUGACUCACGGUCUCUAGAGUUGAACCCACCUAGGACAGUCAGCGAGGUUUACUACUACUACCUGUCUACAGCCGUCAAGUACCAUGCACUGAAAGGGAAGGCGGAGAGAAACACCCCCAGAUCGAAGGUACUUUCUCUAGUUAGGCAACAGCUGACAAACCUGGCGAGAUUAGCUGACGAAAACCUUCUAAAGAGUAAGAUCAUGUUCGACAUACAGGAGCUGGAACGUUAUGGUCUCACGCCAGUAGAUAUACAGAGCACCUUACUCAGUCAGAUCCUGGUGCCUCUGAAAUAGGAGAGGGUGCAGAUGUUUUCCUUCUUCCACUUCCACGGCAUCUGGCUGCCCUGUAUUGUGCAAUCAACCUCUCAAAGCAGGGGCACAUCAUCCAAGCUCUGGACUUCUGGUGCUUUGGUGAGAUCCCCCCACCUUCCACCUCCCCAACUCCCUUACUGAGCCAAGACCUCCACCUGGACCAGACUAGGGUGGAGAACCUGCAGAUGUUUACUCACUUCUUCAUGGGGCUUCUCCGGACCAGGCUGGGGGGACAGUUGGAUGGGCUUGGAAGGGGAUGAUAUCCGCACCAGGCUGAGUAUCUGGUUCCAGAACCAGUUUAAUGGUAGGCAGCUAGCCAACCUGACAGCACUGAACCUGCGCCACUGUUUGAUGGAGCUGCACAUGAAGGAAGUCACCAGCAGGGCGGCACCAGAGAGCCAGAGUCUGAACUUGUUCAAGAUUAAGCUGAGUGGUUGACUGUGCAGUGUAACACUACGCGUUGCAAUUCUCCCCACAUAGGCUCAAGGAGCUCAACCUGGGAUACUCCAACAUCGGAAACAGAGGUCUUAGCAGGCUAGCUUCGAUAUUGCACCGCUGUGAAUCUCUUUAUCUGCGAUAUAACUUUCUGGAAAGGGAGGCAGCCAUCCUGGAAUCUGAGGUGUUGAAAUCAAAUGAGUGUCAGGUGAAGAAGCUGUUUACGUGUGGUAACAACUUGGGUCUGGAAUGGUUUCUGGAGCUGUGGAAUGCCCUGGAGCAGAACACUACACUGGAGGAACUCUACUUGGACAUCACUGGCAUCACAGAGAGAGGAACAGAGAAUAUUGUCAACUGCCUCUAGCAAGAACAUCUCUCUGAAAACGCUGACGUAGGAGAAAGGGGAGAGAGACAUGUGUUAUCUUUUUUGUAAUAUUUUUUUUAUCUGACUUUGUAUUACUGCAUAAUUGAGGAAAAGCUUGCAACAUCGUGGGGAAUGACAUUGGGGAGGUGGGGAAGAGGAGACUGAGGGAGCUCGAGCACCGACGGCCAGGGCUCCGGAUCAUUGGGAACUUUGUGGAUGACCUAGGACUGCUAAAGGCCUACCUGGACUGGGUAGAGGAGAUACGGGAUGGCCAUUUUUAAGGGUCUGAGGGUGGGAGCAGGUGGGGAGAAUGGGGAGGGAGGGGAAGGAGAAAACACAGCCAAAGCCCUGGAGCUGGAGACCAAGAUCUUGGGGCUUUUGUUUGGCCCCCACUCACCUGGCUGGAGUGAGAUGACUUCACUUAACCUUUUGCUCCGUGAGGAGCAAACUCCAAAACCAACAUACAUAAUAACCCGUCAUGCACCAAUACAACAACACGAGCACAUAACAACAAACAAUCUCUGACAAGGACAUGAGGGGAAACAGAGGGUUAAAUACACAACAUGUAAUGAAUGGGAUUGGAACCAGGUGUGUAGGAAGACAAGACAAAACCAAUGGAAAAUGAAAAGAGGAUCAAUGAUGGCUAGAAGACCGGUGACGUCGACCGCCGAGCACCACCUGAACAAGGAGGGGCAUCGACUUCGGCAGAAGUCGUGACAAUACCAUAAUGAUGACCUUUAACCUCUUGAAAACAUUUCAAACUCUAAAACUCUAAAUAGUAUAAUUGAACGCAGCAAUACUAUUAACAAAAAAAUGUAUACAAAAAUAAAUGAAAGUGCUUGGCCAAGUAGGCUAAGUCAGACUCAGUGAGUACCCUGUUUGAAAAGAACAAAGGGGAGAAUGAUGUAGUGGGUUGCGCUUUGUAAUAGAAAAUAGAGGACCAACACAGACAAACAGAGUGUUGCUGUUCUUUACACUUUACAGUAACGUACUGUUGAACCAAAGUUAAUUUGCAAUUUACAGUAACAUACUGUAGCUUUUUUACGUUACUGCCAGAUACUGUAAAAACAACAGGAUUUUCUUUAGUGUACACAUGCUGCACUUUCUACUGUAGACCAGGAAGACUGUGAUGCAUUUCUAGUAAACUCUACCCUCAGGUCCUACCACAUCAUCUGCUAUAGACUAUCCAUCUUGAUAUCAUUUUCAAUUUGUUACCUAAUUUCAUUUCACCGGGGGUGAUGUGUAAGAAACUAUACAUCUGCAUCCUGUUUUAUCAAACCAAAAUUAAAUUGGCAAAAGUUUAGUAACCUCAUUGCAGUUUCUCAUCCCUUUACACAUCAGCAGGCAAUAUGUUUGUUUGGUCAAAUAUAGCCUUUUGGUUACUGCAGUAUAGCCUACAGGGCUGCAGUAUAGUGAAAUGUUUUCAGUUGAAAGUGUAAAAAAAAACAUACGUAUAUAUAAUAUUCUGAACGUAUUUAUAUUGUGAUUCAAUGUAUAGUUGAAACUGAAAUGUAAUAAAAAUGACUUCAGUGA